AACGAACGCUGGCGGCAGGCUUAACACAUGCAAGUCGAACGCUCGUAGCAAUACGGGAGUGGCGGACGGGUGAGUAACGCGUGGGAACGUGCCCUGAGGUACGGAAUAACUGAGGGAAACUUCAGCUAAUACCGUAUGAGCCCCGAGAGGGGGGAAAGAUUUAUCGCCUUGGGAGCGGCCCGCGUCGGAUUAGCUAGUUGGUGGGGUAACGGCCUACCAAGGCUUCGAUCCGUAGCUGGUCUGAGAGGACGAUCAGCCACACUGGGACUGAGACACGGCCCAGACUCCUACGGGAGGCAGCAGUGGGGAAUCUUGCGCAAUGGGGGGCAACCCUGACGCAGCCAUGCCGCGUGAACGAUGAAGGCCUUAGGGUUGUAAAAGUUCUUUUACCCGUGACGAUGAUGACGGUAACGGGGGAAUAAAGCUCCGGGCUAAACUUCGUGCCAGCAGCCGCGGUAAAU
rnacentral:rRNA from 1 species